AGUUAGCGUAGUUGGUAGUGGGCCGGCUUGUGGAACCCGAGACCCAGGUUCGAUCCUG
rnacentral:tRNA from 1 species